UCCCUCAUUAAUUGCCUUUGU
rnacentral:siRNA from 1 species